UAUACCGUGAAACUGCGAAUGGCUCAUUAAAUCAGUUAUCGUUUAUUUGAUAGUACCUUACUACUUGGAUAACCGUGGUAAUUCUAGAGCUAAUACAUGCUUACAACCUCGACUUCGGAAGGGGUGUAUUUAUUAGAUAAAAAACCAACGCCCUUCGGGGCUUCUUGGUGAUUCAUGAUAACUUUGCGGAUCGCAUGGCCUUGCGCUAGCGACGGUUCAUUCAAAUUUCUGCCCUAUCAACUUUCGAUGGUAAGGUAUUGGCUUACCAUGGUUUCAACGGGUAACGGGGAAUUAGGGUUCGAUUCCGGAGAGGGAGCCUGAGAAACGGCUACCACAUCCAAGGAAGGCAGCAGGCGCGCAAAUUACCCAAUCCCAAUACGGGGAGGUAGUGACAAUAAAUACUGAUACAGGGCUCUUUUGGGUCUUGUAAUUGGAAUGAGUACAAUUUAAACCUCUUAACGAGGAACAAUUGGAGGGCAAGUCUGGUGCCAGCAGCCGCGGUAAUUCCAGCUCCAAUAGCGUAUAUUAAAGUUGUUGCAGUUAAAAAGCUCGUAGUUGAACCUUGGGUCUGGCUGGCAGGUCCGCCUCACCGCGUGUACUUGUCCGGCCGGGCCUUCCUUCUGGAGAACCUCAUGCCCUUCACUGGGCGUGUUGGGGACCAGGACUUUUACUUUGAAAAAAUUAGAGUGUUCAAAGCAGGCCUUUGCUCGAAUACGUUAGCAUGGAAUAAUAGAAUAGGACGUGCGGUCCUAUUUUGUUGGUUUCUAGGACCGCCGUAAUGAUUAAUAGGGACAGUCGGGGGCAUCAGUAUUCAAUUGUCAGAGGUGAAAUUCUUGGAUUUAUUGAAGACUAACUACUGCGAAAGCAUUUGCCAAGGAUGUUUUCAUUAAUCAGUGAACGAAAGUUAGGGGAUCGAAGACGAUCAGAUACCGUCGUAGUCUUAACCGUAAACUAUGCCGACUAGGGAUCGGGCGAUGUUAUUUUUCUGACUCGCUCGGCACCUUACGAGAAAUCAAAGUUUUUGGG
rnacentral:rRNA from 1 species